GCCAGCUGCAGGCAGCUAUCUAGGUUGCCUUGUACCUAGGCAAACGUUACACUGCUGGGAGAAAAAUAGCCAGUAGCUGGCAGGCCUUCUAUGCCUGGUUAAUGCCAAAUUCGUGCUAACUAU
rnacentral:snoRNA from 1 species